CUCCCUCAUCAUCACAUCCAUCUUUGUUUUUAUGCACUUGUUUCCACCUCUUUUUUCUUUUUUCAAAAAGAAUGAUGUUGGAUGAUGUAGGAAACACCGCUGAGAAAAUAUCACUUUUGUUGUUUCUCGUUUUCGAGUCAAGAAAUUAAGAGUUUGAGUUCCCAUAGCAACCUCCUCUUGACUUUGUGUUUACAUGCAAUGCAUAUAAUAAAACUCUUAACUGUAUGAAGCCGUGCCAAUGGGAGAAGCAAAGCUUUCUGCCUUGUUGGCUGAGGCGAAGACCUCCUGACUUUUCAGUGCCUCCUCUUCCCACUGUGCUUUUAGAUAACUGGGUAACUAGGGCAAGAAGUUGUGGAAAUUACUGCUGGAAGGUGAAAACAUGGAUUGUCUGCAGCAGUCAAAUCCUGCCAUACAUAGGUUCUUGUACAUGCCCACAAUAAGAAACAAAUUCUAACACUA